AUUAAAAACAAAUAACCAAAAACAAUAAAUAGAAAAAUAACUUAAUUCUUCCACCUAUUUAGAAAGAUCAUGGCAAAUUAAUAGCCCACACAAACUUCCUUUACUCAUCUCGAAGUAGUUCGCCCCUGGCCGGUGUCAUCGGUGAGAUCGCGUCGCCGCUCAUUUUUAAGAUCCUCAGAGAGUAAAAGCAAGACGGUUAGUUUAAAGAAGAGGUACAAGAUCAUUAGAAAGAUUAUAGCGCAAUUAAAGGGUGAUGGUGGAUUGAUUGUAGCAGUUGAACAAGUUUUAUUUUGGAUCUAUAGUUCAGCAGAGCUUCCAUUGAUCUUGCUACUAUAAACUUCAAUACCCAACAGUAAUAAAGUGAAAAUUUUACUGUCUUUUUCAAAGAUGAAAAAGAUGGAGAUGCAAGGAUGAGCAAUUCAAAGAAGUUAAUUGACUUUGUACUUGGCUGGAACUGGGAGAGUAAGAGAGGUUUUGGCGAUCUCUAACACUAUGAUGACGACUUGACGAUUGAUUUGCUAGUUUAAUCCUCACACAUGGAUUUUUUCAUUUAGAUGAAGUGAUUUUGUAGACAGCUAGAUGAUCGUUGAAGGUUGAAGACUGAAAAGGCGUUCAAGAUUUCUUAUUUAAGUCUUGUAUUAGGAUCUUGUUUCAUGUACUCUUGUAAAAUAUAUACAUAAACACAAUAUUAAGAUAUCAUUUUGUGUAUACACAUGUGAAAGACAAAUAUUAUAGUUUCUAAAUAAAUAUUAAUUUUAUUGA